AACGAACGCUGGCGGCAGGCUUAACACAUGCAAGUCGAACGCGUGUAGCAAUACACGAGUGGCGCACGGGUGAGUAACGCGUGGAUAUCUGCCUUUUGGUUCGGAAUAACUCCGGGAAACUGGAGCUAAUACCGGAUGGUUCCUUCGGGAUAAAGAUUUAUCGCCAAAAGAUGAGUCCGCGUACGAUUAGCUAGUCGGUGAGGUAAUGGCUCACCAAGGCGACGAUCGUUAGCUGGUCUGAGAGGACGAUCAGCCACACUGGGACUGAGACACGGCCCAGACUCCUACGGGAGGCAGCAGUGGGGAAUAUUGGACAAUGGGGGCAACCCUGAUCCAGCCAUGCCGCGUGAGUGAUGAAGGCCUUCGGGUUGUAAAGCUCUUUUGGCGGGGACGAUGAUGACGGUACCCGCAGAAUAAGCCCCGGCUAACUUCGUGCCAGCCGCCGCAGUAAAAC
rnacentral:rRNA from 1 species